rnacentral:rRNA from 1 species
CGGGAAGCGAGCGUACACAGGUGCUGCAUGGUUGUCGUCAGCUCGUGCCGUGAGGUGUCGGGUUAAGUCCCAUAACGAGCGCAACCCCUAUCAUUAGUUGCCAUCAGGUCAAGCUGGGGACUCUAAUGAAACUGCCUACGCAAGUAGUGAGGAAGGUGGGGACGACGUCAAGUCAUCAUGGCCCUUAUGUCCUGGGCUACACACGUGCUACAAUGGCCGGCACAACGGGAAGCGAGUUCGCGAGGACGAGCGGAUCCCUCAAAGCCGGUCGCAGUUCGGAUUGAAGUCUGCAACUCGACUUCAUGAAGCUGGAAUCGCUAGUAAUCGUGGAUCAGCCAAGCCGCGGUGAAUACGUUCCCGGGCCUU